UUGACCUCGAAUCAGGUAUGACUACCCGCUGAAGAUAACCAUAUCAGUACGCGGAGGAAA
rnacentral:rRNA from 1 species